rnacentral:lncRNA from 1 species
UGUUUGUGCUUUUUUUUUACUUUUAGGUUUUUAGUUUUAGUGAGUUUUAUUUUUUAUUUUUUAAGCUCUACGUAUGUAGUUAUUGUUUUUUUAUUUAUUGAUUUUAGUGCCCAUCACAAUAACACCUAUUCCACAAUAUGUGAUUAUGGUGCAUUCUUGUUUGAUGUUUUGUAUGGCACUGGUAGUUUUAUAUUUGAUAUUGGUAUAUUGUUGAUUUUUUUUUCACAGUGAGGUCAAAAGUACCAAAAGUUGGGCAAACCAAGUCUAGUAUAGACUAUCAAAUAUACCAACAAUAUAUGAUAUACUAGACUCUCACCAACAUUGAAUAUUAUUGGACUCUCACCAAAUCCUCAUAUCAUGAUAGAAUGUUAAAACGUGUAAAAUUGCUAGCAUAUAUGACAAGUACAUUUUGACCUGCUUUUAAGUUUUGUUGUUGCAUUUCUUAUAGUGGAUAAAUAAUACAUGUCUCUUGUAUCCGUUGAACAGCUAGUGAAGCUGGCAAAGAACUCUGUCAUGAAAAGACGCUGAAUUUUGAAGAUUUUAGGGAGCUGAAUUUGAAGCCAAAUUCGGGAAGCUUGUUGAACUCGGGUUCAGCAGAGAUGCAGUUAUACAAGCUCUAAAGCUUUUUGAUGGUAAUGUAGAACAAGCGGCUGGAUAUCUUCUGCUACAUUAGUAACAACAUGUGAAUCUACUAUUUUUGUUUUGGUUUUUUCUUGUGAUGCAUUUUUUAUUUAUUUGCCAACUAGUUUAUUAUGGGUACUAUUGAUUCUUG